GGGUGAGAAUCCCUUCCACCGAAUAUCUAAGGUUUCCUGAGGAAGGCUCGUCCGCUCAGGGUUAGUCGGGACCUAAGCCGAGGCCGAUAGGCGUAGGCGAUGGACAACAGGUAGAGAUUCCUGUACCAGUGCUAAUUGUUUAACCGAUGGGGUGACACAGAAGGAUAGGGAAUCGCACGAAUGGAAAUGUGCGUCCAAGCAGUGAGUGUGAGAAGUAGGCAAAUCCGCUUCUCGCGAAGCAUGAGCUGUGAUGGGGAAGGAAAUUAAGUACGGAAGUUCCUGAUUUCACGCUGUCAAGAAAAGCCUCUAGGAAGAGUAGUACUGCCCGUACCGCAAACCGACACAGGUAGAUGAGGAGAGAAUCCUAAGGUGAGCGAGAGAACUCUCGUUAAGGAACUCGGCAAAAUGACCCCGUAACUUCGGGAGAAGGGGUGCUCUAUUAGGGUGCAAGCCCGAGAGAGCCGCAGUGAAUAGGCCCAGGCGACUGUUUAGCAAAAACACAGGUCUCUGCAAAACCGUAAGGUGACGUAUAGGGGCUGACGCCUGCCCGGUGCUGGAAGGUUAAGAGGAGUGCUUAGCUUCGGCGAAGGUACGAAUUGAAGCCCCAGUAAACGGCGGCCGUAACUAUAACGGUCCUAAGGUAGCGAAAUUCCUUGUCGGGUAAGUUCCGACCCGCACGAAAGGCGCAACGAUCUGGGCACUGUCUCAACGAGAGACUCGGUGAAAUUAUAGUACCUGUGAAGAUGCAGGUUACCCGCGACAGGACGGAAAGACCCCGUGGAGCUUUACUGCAACCUGAUAUGGAAUGUUUGUACCGCUUGUACAGGAUAGGUAGGAGCCGAAGAGACGUGUGCGCUAGCAUACGAGGAGGCAAUGGUGGGAUACUACCCUGGCUGUAUGACCAUUCUAACCCGCCACGCUUAGCGCGUGGGGAGACAGUGUCAGGUGGGCAGUUUGACUGGGGCGGUCGCCUCCUAAAGAGUAACGGAGGCGCCCAAAGGUUCCCUC
rnacentral:rRNA from 1 species